GGCUUCAUAGCUCAGUUGGUACAACAUUGCAUCCACAUUGCAGAGGUCUUGGGCUUCAGUCCCUUUGAAGUUG
rnacentral:tRNA from 1 species